rnacentral:tRNA from 1 species
GAGGGUGUAGCUCAGUGGUAGAGUGUGUGCCUAGCAUACACAAGGUCCUGGGUUCAAUCCCCCAUACUUUCA